rnacentral:rRNA from 1 species
CUUUGGGGAGCUGUACGUAAGCGUUGAUCCAGAGAUUUCCGAAUGGGGGAACCCACUAUCUUUAGUCGGAUAGUAUCCUUACGUGAAUACAUAGCGUGAGGAAGGCAGACCCAGGGAACUGAAACAUCUAAGUACCUGGAGGAAGAGAAAGAAAAAUCGAUUUCCUGAGUAGCGGCGAGCGAAACGGAAAGAGCCCAAACCAAGAAGCUUGCUUCUUGGGGUUGUAGGACACUCUAUACGGAGUUACAAAAGAAAGUUAUAAAUGAAGCGGUCUGGAAAGGCCCGCCAAAGACGGUAACAGCCCGGUAGUUGAAAUGGCUUUCCCUCCAGAGUGGAUCCUGAGUACGGCGGAACACGUGAAAUUCCGUCGGAAUCCGGGAGGACCAUCUCCCAAGGCUAAAUACUCCCUAGUGACCGAUAGUGAACCAGUACCGUGAGGGAAAGGUGAAAAGCACCCCGGAAGGGGAGUGAAACAGUUCCUGAAACCGUGUGCCUACAAGUAGUUAGAGCCCGUUAAUGGGUGAUAGCGUGCCUUUUGUAGAAUGAACCGGCGAGUUACGAUUUGUUGCAAGGUUAAGCGGAAAAAGCGGAGCCGUAGCGAAAGCGAGUCUGAAUAGGGCGCAUAAGUAACAGGUCGUAGACCCGAAACCAGGUGAUCUACCCAUGUCCAGGAUGAAGGUAAGGUAAUACUUACUGGAGGUCCGAACCCACGCACGUUGAAAAGUGCGGGGAUGAGGUGUGGGUAGCGGAGAAAUUCCAAUCGAACUUGGAGAUAGCUGGUUCUCUCCGAAAUAGCUUUAGGGCUAGCCUCGAGGUAAAGAGUCAUGGAGGUAGAGCACUGUUUGGACUAGGGGCCCUUCUCGGGUUACCGAAUUCAGAUAAACUCCGAAUGCCAUGUACUUAUACUCGGGAGUCAGACUGCGAGUGAUAAGAUCCGUAGUCGAAAGGGAAACAGCCCAGACCACCAGUUAAGGUCCCCAAAUAUAUGUUAAGUGGAAAAGGAUGUGGGGUUGCUUAGACAACCAGGAUGUUGGCUUAGAAGCAGCCACCAUUGAAAGAGUGCGUAAUAGCUCACUGGUCGAGUGACCCCGCGCCGAAAAUGUACCGGGGCUAAACAUAUUACC